rnacentral:rRNA from 1 species
GGUGAGAAUCCUAUCCGCCGAAAGACUAAGGUUUCCUGGGGCAGGCUCGUCCGCCCAGGGUAAGUCGGGACCUAAGGCAAGGCCGAGAGGCGUAGUCGAUGGAUAACAGGUAGAGAUUCCUGUACUGUGUCAAAUCGUUAAGAGCGAAGGAGGGACGCAGGAGGUGAAGCACGCAUCGCGAUGGAACGAUGUUCAAGCAACAAGUGCGGUUAAGAGUCAAAUGCUUCUAACCAGCAACACGAGUUGUGAAGAGGAGUGAAUUAAAAGUAGCGAAGGUGUGGUAAUCACACUGCCAAGAAAAGCUUCUAGCCAGAGAUGACAUACCCGUACCGCAAACCGACACAGGUAGUCGAGUGGAGAACACUAAGGUGAGCGAGAGAACUCUCGUUAAGGAACUCGGCAAAAUGACCCCGUAACUUCGGAAGAAGGGGUGCUAGCCAAGAGAUUGGUUAGCCGCAGUGAAUAGGCCCAAACAACUGUUUAUCAAAAACACAGGUCUCUGCAAAAUCGUAAGAUGACGUAUAGAGGCUGACACCUGCCCGGUGCUGGAAGGUUAAGAGGAGAGCUUAGCGUAAGCGAAGGUUUGAAUUGAAGCCCCAGUAAACGGCGGCCGUAAC